rnacentral:rRNA from 1 species
GACGAACGCUGGCGGCGUGCUUAACACAUGCAAGUCGAACGGAAAGGCCCUGCUUGCAGGGUACUCGAGUGGCGAACGGGUGAGUAACACGUGGGUGAUCUGCCCUGCACUUCGGGAUAAGCCUGGGAAACUGGGUCUAAUACCGGAUAGGAGCCAUUUUUAGUGUGAUGGUUGGAAAGUUUUUUCGGUGUAGGAUGAGCUCGCGGCCUAUCAGCUUGUUGGUGGGGUAAUGGCCUACCAAGGCGGCGACGGGUAGCCGGCCUGAGAGGGUGGACGGCCACAUUGGGACUGAGAGACGGCCCAGACUCCUACGGGAGGCAGCAGUGGGGAAUAUUGCACAAGGGGCGCAAGCCUGAUGCAGCGACGCCGCGGGGGGGAUGACGGCCUUCGGGUUGGAAACUCCUUUCGCUAGGGACGAAGCUUUUUGUGACGGUACCUAGAGAAGAAGCACCGGCUAACUACGUG